UACGUAGGGGGCUAGCGUUGUCCGGAUUUAUUGGGCGUAAAGAGCGUGUAGGCGGCCAGGUAGGUCUGGUGUGAAAACUCGAGGCUUAACCUCGAGAUGUCAUCGGAAACCAUCUGGCUAGAGUCCGGAAGAGGAGAGUGGAAUUCCUGGUGUAGCGGUGAAAUGCGCAGAUAUCAGGAAGAACACCAAUGGCGAAGGCGACUUACUGGACACAUAUUGACGCUGAGGUGCGAAAGCGUGGGGAGCAAACAGG
rnacentral:rRNA from 1 species